ACAGUUAAAGACUUAUAGUUGAACUGUAUUUGACUGGAGAGUGGUAAAAAAAAAGCCGGUAGGUUUAGGGUUUUAGAGUAAGUACUGUUGUAGUAACUAUAAAUUGAGUGUGUGAGUGAUUGAAGUGGCCGCUCUCUAACUCCAACUCCGGGAUUUGAGGUUUUGGUGUCUGUCUGUCAUUCACUUUGCAGGGCAGGCAUAAUGGUUGAAGUCCAGGAAGGAGUUACUGGCGGAUUAAAAGUUAGUCAUAUCCAAAGUUUAUAUACUGCAGGGGUGUUUCUGAUCCUAAGUUCAGGAUAUAUGAUUUGGGCAUGAAAGAGGAAGGAGUGGUUGAAUUUCCAUUUUGUGUCCAUCUUGUCUCUUGGGAGAUAAAGAAUGUAUCUAGUGAAGCCCCCAAAAGAUGCACAUGUUGAAUGCGACAAGCACAUGACAAACUAUGUAGGAAAAGAUGCCUUCCACGUUUGAGUAUGAGUUCAUCCCUUUCAUAUCCUGUACAUCAACAAAGAUGCUUUGUGUGCUGGAGAUAGGCUACAAAUUGGUGCAAAAUGCCUUUCGGAAGCCCCAAGGGACUUUUGCAAGGGUAAAUAUUGGACAUGUAUUUCUGUUUGUUCGAUUCAAAUGGAUACCACGCACAAGAACCCCUUAGAGCAUUCAGAUCAGUGUAAAAAUAAAAAAAAAAAUAAAAAAAAUAAAAAAAAUAAAAAAAAAAUAAAAAAAAGAUGAAGAAGGUAGAAUUUACACAUUUUUUGCCAAAAAAUGACCCACAUUAGUCUGUAUAAAUUGAUAUUAUUUAUUUAUUUAUUAUUUUUUAUGUAUUUCAAAAAAGAGAGUUGAUUGUCACUCUUGUGUGUGAAGAAAGAGAAAUAAUUUUAAAAAUUAAGAAAAAUUGAUAUUUUAAUAAAAUAUAGUGUGAAUUGUGAAAUGAAUAAUAAGAUGUGGAGUGUUUUAAAAAAGGAUUUUGCUAAUGUGUGCCUUUAGGGCACAAUAAUUUUUAUUUUUGGAAAAAAUUUUCUCAAAAAUUGAAAAAGUAUUGACAGUUUUUUCAAUUCCCUAAAAAAUGAUUUUAAAAAUAGAUAGUUUAAGGACACAGAUUAAUCGGAUCCUUUAAAAAAUAUGUAAAAUAGAAAAAAUUGGUUUUUAUGUUAAAAUAGACAAUUUUUUGUACAAAUUGAUGUGAAUGCUUCAAAUUUGCUAGACGCAAAAGAUUAUUAUAAGCUGAAAAUGGAGCUUUACAAAGUUCACUAGAAUGGAAUAUCUCAAGUGGAAGUAGGAGUACUGGAUGGAGUGAAUGCUAAAAUUUUAGGAUAGCAUGGACCUCCUGUUGAGUGGCACAAUUAGGGGGGCAAAAUAUGACCAAACCCAUUUGUUUGUCCAAAUUCACCCACUCUAAUUAAACCUAAACCCAUCCAAUUAUUAAUUGAAUUUUAACUAAUUAAUUGAGCCUCAUUUAACUCAAAAACAAUAUCUCCAAAUUCAACCCAGCCCUUCCCAUAAAUAAAAAAUAAAUAAAUAACCCAGCCCUCAGACGUUUCAUUUUCCCUCAUUUUCUCAGCCUCCAAUCACGUUUUAAUCGAAACCCAACAGCUUCAAAGCUUCAGAAUUCACCUGAGGUGGUCUCAUCGUCAUCCUCUGCAAUAGUCCAAUCAUCAGAGCCAUCACAACCAUCGUCGUCGUCAUCAACAUCAACAGCCGUGGCUGUGGAGAACCUAGCAGUAGCGAUGAGGAACGAAGGCGGAGGCGAAUGUUCACGAUGAUUCGAAGACUAUUCACCGUGAUUCCUGGCACAGAUUCUCAACCAAGAAGAAAUCUUUCUCUAUGAGAUUAAAUAAUUGGGGUUUCGCUUCGGUUAGGGCUUUUGUUGAGUGUUUGUAGGAAAUGGCGAGAGUUGAUCAGCUAGCGAGCGAGAGGAGCAAAGCUCAGUUCGAUGUGGAUGAGAUGAAGAUCGUCUGGGCUGGAUCUCGCCACGCCUUCGAGAUUUUUGAUUGAAUUUCUCGCCUCGUCACCAACGAUCUGGUCAUUUUCCUUCACUUUUUUUUUUUUUGAAAAAUUAUUCGUUUGGCUUUGUUUGGAUCCUAAGAAAGUGUAAGAAAGUUGUGCUUGUUUUGGUUCUAACGUAA